GCAUUCUUUGCAGGUGCAGAGAGCCUGACCCUCAGCCAUGGCGGCAGCUGGGAAGGGGUCGUCCCGUGACAGAAGAGCGUCCAAGUGUGGGGUUCGUCGUGGCUGUCAGCUGAGUUCUCCCGGCCACCAUUGAGAGGGAGGCUCGAGGCAGAGGACGGGGCAUGUGCAUUCUCUGGACAGACACCUGGGGUAGAGCCGCUGCAUCAGCAGAUGCAGAGGCGCCUGGGGCCUCAGAGUCCCUGCAAGGCCAUGGAGCAGAGGCCUGAUCUCCCGGCCACUUAGGACAAAAGGCCCUGAAGCCCUGAGUGGGGAAACUGAGGCCUGAGAGAGCCUCCCUCUCCAGCCAGCCAGGUGAUGGGCGCUGACAUUCAGGAGCACAGAGCUUCCGGCUGUCCCCUCCAUUCUCAAGAAGAAUGUGAGCGCCAUCCCAGCCCGGCGGUCAGUAACAUUCCAGGAGCUUUGGAGAGCGUCUCCGUUGCCAGUCAAGAGCCAGGCUCCACGCACCUCAGUCCAGAAGGACCGCUCAGCCUUGGGCUAAAAAAGGGAAAAACUGCAAGCAGACAGCGUCCGCAGCCGCGUCUCCAGGCCACGGCAGGCAGCAAGGCAGCUGUGAAUGGGAAGGGCAGAGGCGGCCAAAAGCUCAUGCCCUCACUGAUGCCGGUCCUGGCUGUGCUUUCCAGAAAUUAUCCCACACAGCUCCCUGCGUCUCACGGAUCAGGCGUCCUUAGCCUGCUGUGCGGGGGGUGGGGGACACUGAGACACAGAAGGCCAGGCCCCCCAGGCACCGAGCACAGCCCACGACCCAGAGCCGUGGAGUCACCCAGGCUGCACAGCUGGCGAGAGCAGCCCCAGAUGUGGCGGAGCCUCUGGAUUCAAGGCCAGAGUUCCUGCUACACCCCCGACCCUGGGCCUGCCACGGAACGUGUCAGGAGUCGUGCUCCCUGGGCUCCUCUUCCCCACAAAGCCCCUCAUGUAUGCAUGCAUGUGUGUGUGUGCACGUUGCCCUGUCUGAGCACUGAGGAUGCCUCCGCACAGGCAUCUGCUGCCACCACUACAUGGUCUCCCAGCGGCCAGUAUGAGGAGGGCAGAGGCCACCGUCUCUGGCCCAGCAGGAUGAGGGCGCCAUGACCCCUGAGGGGUGAGCAGAGCGGGGUCUGUGUGCCUCGUGGCCCCUGGGGAAUGGGCAGAGCAGGGUCUGUGUAUAGGGUUCCUUGCUGGGCACGUGGCCAGCACUGCAGGAGCUGGCAUUGUGGCAGCCCGGACGCCCUGACCCCGGGUAGAUGUUUUUGGUGCAGCCCCACCCACGUGGCCUUAGGGUAACCCGUGUGACCACAGCCCACAGCAGGCACAAGGGAGGCCACUUCCAGACCUAGGGGGUUAGACUGUGGCUUCUGGCACCUGGAGGAGACUUGGCAGCCUGGGGGUGCCACGUGGUCGGGCUGAGGCCUCCCCACAGCCCCGUGAGCCCCGUCCUGGACAUGGGACUGCCUGUGGCUGCCACCUGAGCUGCAGCCACCAGCCACGCUGCCCCAGAGAUGGGGGAGCUAACACGUGGAGGCCUUUUUAAACUGCUAAGUUUUGGGGUUAUUUGCUACGUGGCUAUAGAUGUCUGAUACGCCGUGGGGUGUGCCCUGAAUGUGGGGUUUGGUUGGCUCUAGGUUAGUGUCAAGCUUUGGGCAGCCAGGGCGCCAAAGCCCCCACCCCUGCCGACUGUGGCCGUGCACCUGCAGGACCAUUCCACUGCUGUGUGGGCCUCGCCUCUGGACACAGGCCCCAGGACCCCGCCACUGAGGCUGGCCUGGCUCCGUGUCCUCCCACCCACUCCCGUUCAGUGCUGCCAGGCGCCGUGCCAUCUGCUGCCCACCAGGACCUGGCUCCUGGCAGGCCUUAGCCCCCUCCCCAUCUCCCUUCCCCCUCCCUGAUCGCCCCUGGGCCCAUGGGCCCAGCCUGCUGAGGGUGACUUCUUCACACCCAGACUCUGGGCUCCAGUUCCUCACCCCAUCCCUGAGACUUCCUCCUGGUCACACCUUCCUUCCAGCAGUGCUCCCAACACACAUGGCCGUUCCUGGGGAGUCUUCCAGGCAGCCCUGCCCACCAUCUCCACCCACCUCCUUCCCACCUGCUCACCACAAGGUCCUGUUCCCAGCAUACGGCCCUGCUGCUGGCCUGGGAGGAGACCUGACGCCUCCAGGGCCACUGUCAGCCUCCCUGGGACACACUGCUGCCGGGACACACUGCUGCUGGCCUCCCUUUGGAGUCCACCCUCGUCCUGUCCCCACCUGCCCCGUCCCCACCUGUCCUGUCUCCACCUGCCCCGUCCCCACCUGUCCUGCCCCCACCUGCACUAUCCUCCCACCUCUCCUGAUUCUGGUGAGCCUGUCAGGUGACAAACCCUGGCUGUCUCCUCCAUGGGGCACCUGGUGAAGCUGAGGGAGGACUCUGGGGCUGGGACUCAGUUUCCCCUCCUAGGGGCCACAAACUGGUCUGGAUGUUACAUUCAUGGGGCUGCUGAGGGAGGACAGGUCGAGGGCACCAUCUAGGGUUAGUCUUGGUCGGCUGGCAGAGGGCUGACCCAGGGAGCCCCGUCCCUCCCUGAGGGCCCCGCCUGCCCAGUACCGUGGCCCAUGGCCCGGGUUUGGCCUGUCCACCAGAUCCAGUCCUUUGGCACCCGUGUCCCUAGGGCCCUGGGCUGUGAGGAGGCGUGAAGGGGAAGGAAGGACAUUUGGAGGGGGGCCUGUCACACAUGGGAGCAUCGCUGUUGGAGAAGGUUUCCUAUAAAUGCCACUGUGUUCAUGGAUGUUCUAAGUGGCUGUGAGGAGGCGUGAAGGGGAAGGAAGGACAUUUGGAGGGGGGGCUGUCACACAUGGGAGCAUCGCUGUUGGAGAAGGUUUCCUAUAAAUGCCACUGUGUUCAUGGAUGUUCUAAAUGGAACUGCCAGCUGGCUUUUGGUUUGUGAGUCUUCAUUAAAGAUUACAUUUCUGUUC
rnacentral:lncRNA from 1 species